CGGGACGCUUGGGAAGCCCCCAGGGAAACAGGGGAAAGGCCGCGCCACGGGCUGUGCCGCCCUCCACCCCGUAGCACUGGCCAGUGCCGUUGCCCGUCUCGGCUAUGGCGGGGCUCGCUGGCGCCGGCUGCACCGCCUCGGCGAUGGGGAACGGGCCCCGGGGCCAGAGCGUCACCUUUGUGGUCGGCAUGCGGGGAGCCGCGACUCCCGCGGCUGCGUACCUGAAGGAGCACCUCAUACGGGUUCUCUUCCUGCUGGCCGCCAGGCUCACCGAGGCUGUGUUCAAUGUCAUAGCGUUUUCCAGCAAGGUGUUAAAAUGGUGCAACUGCUUGGUCAGAUGUUCACUCUGUAGUGUCACCGAAGCAGCAGCCUGGAUUAGAUCCCUGCACUUUGAGAAUGGCAUGGAUGCUGCAAGUGGCUUGGCUGUGGCAUUUGAAGACCCAGACUGUGAGGAAGUGUAUCUGCUCACCAACAUGCUCCCAGAGCAGGAAUCAGAGGAAAUCUGUCAACUUCUUGCAGAGAACAAGUUGCAUCCAGUACAUGUUGUAUGCCUUUUGGGAGAUUCAGAUGAUUAUGAAAGAGGCAAGCAAAAAACAAUGGAAAAAGUAGCCAGACAGUCUGGGGGAUCCUUUCAAGUGAUCAGACUCCCUCAUACUGCUUCUGAAAAGAUAAGCUCCAUGUCCAUCUCACAUGUCCAGUGUUGUCACACCACUAGUAAAGAUCCCUGUGGCUCUUUGCUGUCAGGAUGUCCAGCAACAGAGUAA
rnacentral:lncRNA from 1 species